UGACAGAGUGAGACUCUGUCCAAAAAAAAACCCCAAAAAACAAAAAGUAGAGUCUAUGUUUCCUACUUUUUGAAUUUCACAUUGCCUUGUGACUUGCUUUGGCUAACAAAUGUGUCAGAAGUGACAAUAUGGGACUUCUGGAGCCUAGAUUGUGGAAAAUCUUGUGGCUUCCACUUUCACUCUCUUGGGACCUGCUGAUGCCAGGCCAGGAGCGAAGGCUAUUUUGCUGGAGAACCACACACAGGAGAACUGAGGUCCUUUGGCUGACAAUCCCAGCGUGGCCCUCCAGAAUGAACUGCAAGCUUGGAUGAGGCUCCAGGGAGCACUUACAUCCAUUGUUUAAGCUCCAAGAGGCUCUGAUUCCAUGAACUUUGCCAAUGAGAAGGUUGAAAAAUUGGAGUAGCGGAGCCCUGACACUUCCCAGACCCUCUCACAUAAUCUCUCAAGGAAUCCAGCUUAAUGGAUCAGCCCACUGCAGACAAAAGAACAUAAAACAGAAAAGGGAUCCAGAACCAGGCUCCCAAGAGUCUGACCACACAGCCAGCAGGAGGUCAGAGAGACAGCGUUUCACCAUGUUGGCCAGGCUGGUCUCAAACUCCCGACCUCAGGUGAUUCGCUCACCUCAGCUUCCCAAAGUGCUGGAAUUACAGGCAUGAGCCACCAUGCCUGGCUGAGAAGAUUGUUAAAUUUCAAACUUCUGCUUGCCAGAAUUAAACCAUUUUAAAUCAACCAUGGUGGCAGUAUUUACACCUUGGAUACUGGCAAACACUAUAGGUCAUUAAAUAAAAUAAGAUGUUAUUUUACUUAACAAAAAUUACAUUAAAAAAUU